rnacentral:rRNA from 1 species
GACGAACGCUGGCGGCGUGCCUAAUACAUGCAAGUCGAGCGCAGGAAGUCGACGGAACCCUUCGGGGGGAAGUCGACGGAAUGAGCGGCGGACGGGUGAGUAACACGUAAAGAACCUGCCCUCAGGUCUGGGAUAACCACGAGAAAUCGGGGCUAAUACCGGAUGGGUCAUCGGACCGCAUGGUCCGAGGAUGAAAGGCGCUCCGGCGUCGCCUGGGGAUGGCUUUGCGGUGCAUUAGCUAGUUGGUGGGGUAAUGGCCCACCAAGGCGACGAUGCAGAGCGGACCUGAGAGGGUGAUCGGCCACACUGGGACUGAGACACGGCCCAGACUCCUACGGGAGGAAGCAGUAGGGAAUCUUCCACAAUGGACGAAAGUCUGAUGGAGCAACGCCGCGUGAACGAUGAAGGCCUUCGGGUCGUAAAGUUCUGUUGUAAGGGAAGAACAAGUGCCGCAGGCAAUGGCGGCACCUUGACGGUACCUUGCGAGAAAGCCACGGCUAACUACGUGCCAGCAGCCGCCGUAACAC